rnacentral:lncRNA from 1 species
UGUAUUGUGGUGAACUUGGGCUAUACUCUGGGUUCGCACCAGAAUUAUAAGGACUGUAAAAUAUGAAGCCAAUCGUUAUAGAGUGCAAGGUGUUUAACCACCUUAACUUGACACAUGAAUCAUGUAGCAUAAAGUAUUACCAUACAUCACCAUUAUUAAGAUGCAUGGUUUGUUAAAAGCAUUAAAAUUUCAGGUAGUAAGGUGUGGAAAGAAAACCGUGUCGAAAAGGAACAGCUCAAACUUGCAGUCGGCAUAAAUUUAAUCAUGUAGCAUACACAUGAUUUAAGGUAUCACUAAAAGCUUGCAGAUUAAGGAGAAAGCUGAACUAUGUAAUAAACUACAUUAUUACAUAAAAGGAGAAACAGAAUGUUUCAAUAUUUGUCGGUAUUACUUUCCUCUAUUUAGAUAGAUCAAUGAUCCUAGAGUACAUUUGAAGAUCAUAAAAAUUAUAUAUGUUCAAAAAAAGGAAGCUUGUAAACUGAUGACCCGUCCAAGGUGAAAAAGAAAGAAAAGGAACAAGCAAACAAAUUACAAUACUAGAAAUACCGAGGUCACCCAUAAAAUUAAGAUAUACAAGAUUUACCUGCUGGGACUGUAUGUUGGACUUGAAGGGGAAUAAGAUGGAGAUGUCGGUGAAUAUGAUGGUGAUGUUGGGCUGCAAGAAAAAAGAGAAAUUUAAUGUUCUAAAAUACACUAAGAAACAACCAAGGGCUAAGUACACAGCAACUUAGCCCAACAGUUGGCAGUUUCACAUCGAAGAUUAGAAAAGAAGAUUAUAUGUAGUAAAGGUCGGCAAGUUGUCUGUAUUAAUGAUCGUCAACUUUAGUGGGUUGACACUGCAAAAACACAACCAAUUGCAUAAAAGCAUGUAGAGGUGAGCAGGUUAAAUUAUUCAAGAAGUUUGAGUUGCCAAUUACCUGUAAUUGGGGGAUGUUGGGCUGUAUGGACUGGCUGGUGACAGUCUUGGACUACUCGGGGAAUAUGCUAGAGAGGGGCUGUAUUUUGCUGAUGAAGGGUUGUAACUUGGAGAUGUAGGGCUGUAGCUAGGAGAUGUUGGACUAUAG